UACGUAGGGGGCAAGCGUUGUCCGGAAUCACUGGGCGUAAAGGGCGCGUAGGCGGUGCGAGAAGCGUGUGGUGAAAGGCCGGGGCUCAACCCCGGCUCGGCCGUGCGGACUCUCGCGCUUGGUGAGUGCUGUAGAGGCGUGUGGAAUUCCGGGUGUAGUGGUGAAAUGCGUAGAGAUCCGGAGGAACACCAGUGGCGAAGGCGACACGCUGGGCCAUACCUGACGCUAAAGCGCGACAGCAUGGGGAGCAAACGGG
rnacentral:rRNA from 1 species